AAUUUACGGAUUCCUCUUUGGUACAGUUCCCAUCUGGCUUUGAUGUGUGCAGUGUUUCUGCUUUCCUUAGGGGUUUAUCGAAGGCUCCCUCCAUCCGUACGGCCGGCAGCAGUGGUGAGUCCUACCCUGGGCCAUACCACCAACUUCUGUCGGCUUCCACUUGAGGACCUGGUGGUGACACUGGGUUCACCUGGAGUCUUCAGAUCAGCUGAUCAGCAACAUCAGUUCCCUAACACAGCUUCUAGGAAUUAGGACAUGGGCAUCUUUGUGGGAGAACAUCACCCUGCCCAGUACAGAAUUUAUGCAAAGCAUAUAGUAGCACCGACUGGUGAGUGACUGAAUGCUUCCCUCUAAAAUCCCACAAGGCACAGAUGUCCACAACAUGCAGUAAGGCACAUGGUAAGACAGGAUUAUAAACCUACAGAAAGGAAAAAAGUAAAAAUGUCCUUGUUCACACACGAGACAACCGUAUACACAGCAGAUCAUAAGGAAUACAGAUUCACGUGCACCUGGAAUGGGAAAGCCCUGCAGAGUCCUGAGAUACAAGAUUAUAAAUUCAUUGUAUUUCUGUAUACUAACAGUCCAUCAGUGAAGUUAA